rnacentral:tRNA from 1 species
UCCCUGGCAGUCCAGUGGUUAGGACUCUGCCCUUCCAAUGCAGAGGGCACAGGUUCUCUCUCUGGUCAGGGAA